rnacentral:Y_RNA from 1 species
GGCUGGUCCGAUGGCAGUGGGUUAUCAGAACUUAAUAACAUUAGUGUCACUAAAGUUGGUAUACAACCCCCCCACCGCUAAAUUUGACUGGCUUUAA